CCCCACCGGAUCCCCUUAAUGACAUGGUGACAGGUGGGUCUCUUAUCUAUAUAUCAUUAAUAUUUAACCUCCCUCCAAGGUCACUGACUCAGUAUCUCAGGCCAAAGGUUAACCGUCUUUACUUUGUUUACAACUGAAUGACUGGCCUGUUCUCACCUGGUCAGUACAACCAGGGUUACAGAGCACUUUUAUGGAAGGCCAUAAACUGGCUGUCAGCUCCCAGGGCAACCAUAACAAAAAUGUGGAAGAACCUGGAGUGUCUGGGGAGGAGCCUUCGGCCUCCUUCUAAGGGCCUCUCUCAGAUCACCAUACACACUCCUCCCCUGGCAUCCCAGGCCCAUAGCUGGGGCGGAUCCUGCCUGCUACCAGACAGGCUGUCAAAGUCCCACCAGGGCCAGAUGGUAAGCUUGACUUUUCUGAGAGCGCUACACUCUGACCCAGUAGCCUGGAAAGUCUCCAGCCCUGCCUGCCGUGCCCUGUCCCAGCCAGAGAAGAGGGAGUCUCCAAGUCACCUGCCUAACAAGGAAAGGCAGAGCCAGGGGUAAAAGAAUAGUGACCUCAGAACCCCCCAGGGAACAUUCCAAGACCCUGGACCCCUGUGCAGCCGGAACUCACAAGCUGUGCACAGACAAGGAGAGCUGUGAAUGCAGCCCAACAUAAAUAAAUGGGAAACGCACCUAAAA
rnacentral:lncRNA from 1 species